UACGUAGGGGGCAAGCGUUGUCCGGAUUUAUUGGGCGUAAAGAGCGUGUAGGCGGUUUGGUAGGUCCGCUGUGAAAACUCGAGCUCAACCUCGAGACGCCGGUGGAAACCAUCAGACUAGAGUCCGGAAGAGGAGAGUGGAAUUCCUGGUGUAGCGGUGAAAUGCGCAGAUAUCAGGAGGAACACCGAUGGCGAAGGCAGGUCUCUGGGCCGCAACUGACGCUGAGGAGCGAAAGCAUGGGGAGCGAACGGG
rnacentral:rRNA from 1 species